rnacentral:rRNA from 1 species
UGGGGGAUAUUGCACAAUGGGCGAAAGCCUGAUGCAGCGACGCCGCGUGGGGGAUGAAGGCCUUCGGGUUGUAAACUUCUUUUGCUCUGAACAAGGCAUGCCUUUGGGGUGUGUUGAGUGUAGGGGUUGAUUAGCGCCGGCUAACUACGUGCCAGCAGCCGCGGUAAUACGUAGGGCGCGAGCGUUGUCCGGAAUUAUUGGGCGUAAAGGGCUUGUACGUGGCUGGUUGCGUCUGUCGUGAAAGCUCAUGGCUUAACUGUGGGUUUGCGGUGGGUACGGGCUGGCUUGAGUGCAGUAGGGGAGGCUGGAAUUCCUGGUGUAGCGGUGGAAUGCGCAGAUAUCAGGAGGAAUACCGGUUGCGAAGGCGGGUCUCUGGGCUGUUACUGACGCUGAGGAGCGAAAGCGUGGGGAGCGAACAGG